UACAGAGACUGCAAGCGUUAUUCGGAUUCACUGGGCGUAAAGGGUGCGCAGGCGGCCAAGUGUGUUAGGCGUGAAAGCCCGGGGCUUAACCCCGGAAUUGCACCUAAAACUACAUGGCUAGAGCAUUGGAGAGGGUAGCAGAAUUCAUGGUGUAGCAGUGAAAUGCGUAGAUAUUGGGAAGAACACCGAUGGCGAAGGCAGCCAUCUGGACCGACACUGACGCUGAGGCGCGAAAGCGUGGGGAGCAAACAGG
rnacentral:rRNA from 1 species